CUUGGUAGGGUGCAAUGUGGUGUUUAGGAGAUGCCAUUCGCACCUUGAGCUCUGGUGUCCAAGUCCCCCUGACUGGGGCCAUCGCCCGUUGAGGGUGCAAGGCCUGUUGGGCAGGGCUGAGUCUCCUGAUCUCGGUGCGUAAGGCAUCUUCCUUGGAGUCGGGUUGCUUGAGAGUGCAGCCCAAAGUGGGUGGUAAACUCCACCUAAGGCUAAAUACUUGCCACGAGACCGAUAGCAAACAAGUACCGUGAGGGAAAGUUGCAAAGAACUUUGAAGAGAGAGUUCAAGAGUGCGUGAAACCGUUUGGAGGUAAACGGGUGGGAGCGCGAAGGUCGAACGGAUGGGGAGGGAUUCAACUUGGCGAGGUAGCUUACCAGGUGCUGGCAUGUCUGGGUGUGCACAUCCUCUUUUCUUCGGGAUUGGGGUUUGUUUGCCAUCCCGUGCUGCUGCCUGUGUGAUGUUUGCCCUGCCUUGUGCAUUUCCCUGUUCCCCCUCUCCUACUANGACGCUGCGACCGGCUGUUGAUGGGAUCACAGGAGCUUAGGUUAGAGAAGCUGCGCAGACGAGUAAGGGAUUAGUUCUCUGCGUCUGGUCUGUCUGUCUCUUUCCAAAUGGCUGUUGCUGAUUCUUCCGGCCGAGGAACUUUGGUAGGCGAGCUGGGCCCUUGUGGUCCCUCGUCCACUAACGUGCCCGAGAUCAGACGGUGCGGGUCGACAAAACCCCACCGGUGGCGGCGGGUGUCUUCAUACCGGUUGUAAUGAUCGCGCGUGAAGACUCCGCGUGUCAGCUGCUGUCGGUCAAGGUGCAGACUCCGGUAAGG
rnacentral:rRNA from 1 species